UGAGCAAUCUGCCCUUCUCAUCGGAAUAAGCGUUGGAAACGACGUCUAAUGCCGAAUACGACCUCCUUUCGCAUGAUCGGAGGUGGAAAGCUCCGGCGGAGAAGGAUGAGCUCGCGGCCUAUCAGCUAGUUGGUGUGGGUAAUGGCCCACCAAGGCGACGACGGGUAGCCGGCCUGAGAGGGUGACCGGCCACACUGGGACUGAGACACGGCCCAGACUCCGUAGGAG
rnacentral:rRNA from 1 species